UCAGAUUGAACGCUGGCGGCGUGCUUAACACAUGCAAGUCGCGCGUGAAAGGACUUCGGUCCGAGUAAAGCGGCGCACGGGUGAGUAACGCGUGGAUGAUCUACCCAUGAGUUGGGAAUAACGGUUGGAAACGAUCGCUAAUACCCGGUACGUUCCCGAUUUCAACUUCGGGAGAAAGGGGGCCUCUGCUUGCAAGCUUCUGCUCAUGGAUGAGUCCGCGUCCCAUUAGCUAGUUGGUGAGGUAACGGCUCACCAAGGCAUCGAUGGGUAGCCGGUCUGAGAGGAUGACCGGCCACACUGGGACUGGAACACGGCCCAGACUCCUACGGGAGGCAGCAGUGGGGAAUAUUGCGCAAUGGGCGAAAGCCUGACGCAGCGACGCCGCGUGAGGGAUGAAGGGUCCUUCGGAUCGUAAACCUCUGUCAAGAGGGAAGAAACGUCAGGGUGCUAAUCAGCCCUGAUCUGACGGUACCUCUAAAGGAAGCACCGGCUAACUCCGUGCCAGCAGCAGC
rnacentral:rRNA from 1 species